rnacentral:tRNA from 1 species
UGGGUUGUUGACUAACAGGUAAGUCACUGAAAUUUGGCUUCAGUCUAUGAAAGUUCGAAUCUUUCCAACCCAU